UACGUAGGCAGCGAGCGUUGUUCGGAGUUACUGGGCGUAAAGGGUGUGUAGGCGGCCUCUUAAGUUUGGUGUGAAAUCUCCCGGCUCAACUGGGAGGGUGCGCCGAAUACUGAGUGACUAGAGUGCGGGAGAGGAAAGUGGAAUUCCUGGUGUAGCGGUGAAAUGCGUAGAUAUCAGGAGGAACACCGGUGGUGUAGACGGCUUUCUGGACCGUAACUGACGCUGAGACACGAAAGCGUGGGUAGCAAACAGG
rnacentral:rRNA from 1 species